rnacentral:rRNA from 1 species
UACGGAGGGAGCUAGCGUUAUUCGGAAUUACUGGGCGUAAAGCGUACGUAGGCGGCUUUGUAAGUUAGAGGUGAAAGCCUGGAGCUCAACUCCAGAACUGCCUUUAAAACUGCAUCGCUUGAAUCCAGGAGAGGUGAGUGGAAUUCCGAGUGUAGAGGUGAAAUUCGUAGAUAUUCGGAAGAACACCAGUGGCGAAGGCGGCUGACUGGUCCGGUUCUGACGCUGAGGCGCGAAAGCGUGGGGAGCAAACAGG